UCCCCUAGUAACUGCGAGUGAAGAGGGAAAAGCUCAAAUUUAAAAUCUGGCGGCUUCGCCGUCCGAGUUGUAAUUUAGAGAAGUGUUACCCUUGCUGGACCGUGUACAAGUUUCCUGGAACGGAACGUCAUAGAGGGUGAGAAUCCCGUCUUUGACACGGACUCCCAGCAUGUUGUGGUGCGCUCUCGAAGAGUCGUGUUGUUUGGGAAUGCAGCACUAAAUGGGUGGUAAAUUCCAUCUAAAGCUAAAUAUUGGCGAGAGACCGAUAGCAAACAAGUACCGUGAGGGAAAGAUGAAAAGAACUUUGGAAAGAGAGUUAAACAGUACGUGAAAUUGUUGAAAGGGAAACGCUUGAAGUCUAGUCGCGUCGGUUGGGAAUCAGUCUUGCUUCUGCUUGAUGUACUUUCUGAUCGACGGGUCAGCAUCAGUUUUGACCGUUGGAUAAAGGUUGGGGGAAUGUGGCAUCCUCGGAUGUGUUAUAGCCUCUGAUUGUAUACAACGGUUGGGACUGAGGAACUCAGCACGCCGCAAGGCCGGGUACUUGUACCACGUUCGUGCUUAGGAUGCUGGCAUAAUAGCUUUAAUCGACCCGUCUUGAAACACGGACCAAGGAGUCUAACAUGCCUGCGAGUGUUUGGGUGGAAAACCCGAGCGCGCAAUGAAAGUGAAAGUUGAGAACUCUUCAGAGUGCAUCGACGCCCGGACCAGACGUUUUCUGACGGAUCCGCGGUAGAGCAUGUAUGUUGGGACCCGAAAGAUGGUGAACUAUGCCUGAAUAGGGUGAAGCCAGAGGAAACUCUGGUGGAGGCUCGUAGCGAUUCUGACGUGCAAAUCGAUCGUCGAAUUUGGGUAUAGGGGCGAAAGA
rnacentral:rRNA from 1 species